rnacentral:rRNA from 1 species
UACGUAGGGUGCAAGCGUUAAUCGGAAUUACUGGGCGUAAAGCGUGCGCAGGCGGUUGUGCAAGGCAGGUGUGAAAUCCCCGGGCUUAACCUGGGAACUGCAUUUGUGACUGCACGGCUAGAGUGUGUCAGAGGGGGGUAGAAUUCCACGUGUAGCAGUGAAAUGCGUAGAUAUGUGGAGGAAUACCGAUGGCGAAGGCAGCCCCCUGGGAUAACACUGACGCUCAUGCACGAAAGCGUGGGGAGCAAACAGG